rnacentral:rRNA from 1 species
CCAGACUCCUACGGGAGGCAGCAGUGGGGAAUAUUGGGCAAUGGGCGCAAGCCUGACCCAGCAACGCCGCGUGAAGGAAGAAGGCUUUCGGGUUGUAAACUUCUUUUGUCAGGGACGAAGCAAGUGACGGUACCUGACGAAUAAGCCACGGCUAACUACGUGCCAGCAGCCGCGGUAAUACGUAGGUGGCAAGCGUUAUCCGGAUUUACUGGGUGUAAAGGGCGUGUAGGCGGGACUGCAAGUCAGAUGUGAAAACCACGGGCUCAACCUGUGGCCUGCAUUUGAAACUGUAGUUCUUGAGUACUGGAGAGGCAGACGGAAUUCCUAGUGUAGCGGUGAAAUGCGUAGAUAUUAGGAGGAACACCAGUGGCGAAGGCGGACUGCUGGACAGCAACUGACGCUGAGGCGCGAAAGCGUGGGGAGCAAACAGGAUUAGAUACCCCCGUAGU